rnacentral:siRNA from 1 species
UCUAUCUCGACGAAGCUCGCCGGA